rnacentral:rRNA from 1 species
GAGUGAACGCUGGCGGUAGGCCUAACACAUGCAAGUCGAACGGCAGCACAGUAAGAGCUUGCUCUUAUGGGUGGCGAUUGGCGGACGGGUGAGGAAUACAUCGGAAUCUACUUUUUCGUGGGGGAUAACGUAGGGAAACUUACGCUAAUACCGCAUACGACCUACGGGUGAAAGCAGGGGAUCUUCGGACCUUGCGCGAUUGAAUGAGCCGAUGUCGGAUUAGCUAGUUGGCGGGGUAAAGGCCCACCAAGGCGACGAUCCGUAGCUGGUCUGAGAGGAUGAUCAGCCACACUGGAACUGAGACACGGUCCAGACUCCUACGGGAGGCAGCAGUGGGGAAUAUUGGACAAUGGGCGCAAGCCUGAUCCAGCCAUAUCCGCGUGGGUGAAGAAGGCCUUCGGGUUGUAAAGCCCUUUUGUUGGGAAAGAAAUCCAGCCGGCUAAUACCUGGUUGGGAUGACGGU